rnacentral:rRNA from 1 species
UGCGUAGGCGGGCAGCUCAGUCAGUGGUGAAAGUUUGCAGCUCAACUGUAAAAUUGCCAUUGAUACUGGUUGUCUUGAAUUAAUGUGAAGUGGUUAGAAUAUGUAGUGUAGCGGUGAAAUGCAUAGAUAUUACAUGGAAUACCAAUUGCGAAGGCAGACCACUAACAUUAUAUUGACGCUGAGGGACGAAAGCGUGGGGAGCGAACAGGAUUAGAUACCCUGGUAGUCC